GAUGAACGCUGGCGGCGUGCUUAACACACGCAAGUCGAACGGUGAAGGCGGAGCUUGCUCUGCUGGAUCAGUGGCGAACGGGUGAGUAACACGUGAGCAAUCUGCCCCUGACUCUGGGAUAAGCGCUGGAAACGGCGUCUAAUACUGGAUACGAGCUGCGAAGGCAUCUUCAGCAGCUGGAAAGAAUUUCGGUCAGGGAUGAGCUCGCGGCCUAUCAGCUUGUUGGUGAGGUAAUGGCUCACCAAGGCGUCGACGGGUAGCCGGCCUGAGAGGGUGACCGGCCACACAGGGACUGAGACACGGCCCAUACUACUACGGGAGGCAGCAGUGGGGUAUAUUGCACAAUGGGCGAAAGCCUGAUGCAGCAACGCCGCGUGAGGGACGACGGCAUUCGGGUUGUAAACCUCUUUUAGCAGGGAAGAAGCGAAAGUGACGGUACCUUCAGAGAAAGCGCCGGCUAACUACGUG
rnacentral:rRNA from 1 species